rnacentral:rRNA from 1 species
AAUGAACGCUGGCGGCGCGCCUAAUACAUGCAAGUCGAGCGAGAAGACGUAGCAAUACGUUUGUAAAGCGGCGAACGGGUGAGGAAUACAUGGGUAACCUACCCUCGAGUGGGGAAUAACUAGCCGAAAGGUUAGCUAAUACCGCGUACGCUCCUUGGACUUCGGUUCAGGGAGGAAAGCGAUACCGUGGGUAUCGCGCUCUUGGUUGGGCUCAUGUCCUAUCAGCUUGUUGGUGAGGAACGGCUCACCAAGGCUUCGACGGGUAGCUGGUCUGAGAGGACGAUCAGCCACACUGGCACUGCGACACGGGCCAGACUCCUACGGGAGGCAGCAGUAAGGAAUAUUGCGCAAUGGGCGAAAGCCUGACGCAGCGACGCCGCGUGGGGGAUGAAAGUCUUCGGAUUGUAAACCCCUUUCGGGAGGGAAGAUGGAACGAGCAAUCGUUCGGACGGUACCUCAGAAGCAGCCACGGCUAACUUCGUGCCAGCCGCCGCGGU